rnacentral:tRNA from 1 species
GCGCCUGUAGCUCAACUGGACAGAGCAACGGACUUCUAAUCCGUAGGUUCUGGGUUCAAGUCCCGGCAGGCGCG